rnacentral:rRNA from 1 species
AGCUAGUUGGCGGGGUAAUGGCCCACCAAGGCGACGACGGGUAGCUGGUCUGAGAGGACGAUCAGCCACACUGGAACUGAGACACGGUCCAGACUCCUACGGGAGGCAGCAGUGGGGAAUUUUGCGCAAUGGGCGCAAGCCUGAUCCAGCAAUGCCGCGUGUGUGGAGAAGGCCUUCGGGUUGUAAAGCACUUUUAUCAGGAACGAAAUACUACGGGUUAAUAACCUGUGGGGCUGACGGUACCUGAGGAAUAAGCACCGGCUAACUUCGUGCCAGCAGCCGCGGUAAUACGAAGGGUGCAAGCGUUAAUCGGAAUUACUGGGCGUAAAGGGUGCGUAGGCGGUUAGUUAAGUCUGUUGUGAAAUCCCCGGGCUCAACCUGGGAAUGGCAAUGGAUACUGGCUAGCUAGAGUGUGUCAGAGGAUGGUGGAAUUCCCGGUGUAGCGGUGAAAUGCGUAGAGAUCGGGAGGAACAUCAGUGGCGAAGGCGGCCAUCUGGGACAACACUGACGCUGAAGCACGAAAGCGUGGGGAGCAAACAGGAUUAGAUACCCUGGUAGUCCACGCCCUAAACGAUGCGAACUGGAUGUUGGUCUCAACUCGGAGAUCAGUGUCGAAGCUAACGCGUUAAGUUCGCCGCCUGGGGAGUACGGUCGCAAGACUGAA